CGCAUCCCCUCUUCCCAGACGGCUCUCUUCGAUCUCUCGGUUUCUUCUUCUCUUCCUCCGCCUGCAACUUUUCUCCAAUUCCUUUUGGUCCAUCGCUCCUAGAAAAAUCUCUCUCUCUCUCUCUCUCUCUCUCUCUCUCUCUCUCUCUCUCUCUCUUUCUCUGUCUCUCUCUCUUGCUAUGCUGCCUUUGGAGCGUGAUGAUAUGCUAAUGUCGCCCCAGUCUUACGAUCCGUUCACCUUGUGAAUGGAUGAUGAGGUUGAUUUGUUUGGACAGCUGCGUACCUGGGGGUGGUGUUGAUGCUGAUCAUUUAUCUCCACAUCUGUCAGUUGUAUGAAUACUUCCGUGGGAGUUGAAUUGUAACAUGCAAGUACUGAAUUGUUUUGUUGGACUUAGAUAAAUGAACCAAAAUAAGGAGCGAUUUUAUGUUUGCAUGACCAAAUCGGUGAACUUUGAGCGGCAUGUGUGUGAUCCCGCAGCAGGCGAGAGCUGCUAUUCUGAAUUAUUUUUUCUACUUUCGUUGAUGGGCAACAACAUUUGCUUUUUAAAACUAAUUUAAUUAUUGAUAUAUAUUUUU